rnacentral:rRNA from 1 species
GAUGAACGCUGGCGGCGUGCCUAAUACAUGCAAGUCGAGCGAACGGACGAGAAGCUUGCUUCUCUGAUGUUAGCGGCGGACGGGUGAGUAACACGUGGAUAACCUACCUAUAAGACUGGGAUAACUUCGGGAAACCGGAGCUAAUACCGGAUAAUAUUUUGAACCGCAUGGUUCAAAAGUGAAAGACGGUCUUGCUGUCACUUAUAGAUGGAUCCGCGCUGCAUUAGCUAGUUGGUAAGGUAACGGCUUACCAAGGCAACGAUGCAUAGCCGACCUGAGAGGGUGAUCGGCCACACUGGAACUGAGACACGGUCCAGACUCCUACGGGAGGCAACAGUAGGGAAUCUUCCGCAAUGGGCGAAAGCCUGACGGAGCAACGCCGCGUGAGUGAUGAAGGUCUUCGGAUCGUAAAACUCUGUUAUUAGGGAAGAACAUAUAUGUAAGUAACUGUGCACAUCUUGACGGUACCUAAUCAGAAAGCCACGGCUAACUACGUGCCAGCAGCCGCGGUAAUACGUAGGUGGCAAGCGUUAUCCGGAAUUAUUGGGCGUAAAGCGCGCGUAGGCGGUUUUUUAAGUCUGAUGUGAAAGCCCACGGCUCAACCGUGGAGGGUCAUUGGAAACUGGAAAACUUGAGUGCAGAAGAGGAAAGUGGAAUUCCAUGUGUAGCGGUGAAAUGCGCAGAGAUAUGGAGGAACACCAGUGGCGAAGGCGACUUUCUGGUCUGCAACUGACGCUGAUGUGCGAAAGCGUGGGGAUCAAACAGGAUUAGAUACCCUGGUAGUCCACGCCGUAAACGAUGAGUGCUAAGUGUUAGGGGGUUUCCGCCCCCUAGUGCUGCAGCUAACGCAUUAAGCACUCCGCCUGGGGAGUACGACCGCAAGGUUGAAACUCAAAGGAAUUGACGGGGACCCGCACAAGCGGUGGAGCAUGUGGUUUAAUUCGAAGCAACGCGAAGAACCUUACCAAAUCUUGACAUCCUUUGACAACUCUAGAGAUAGAGCUUUCCCCUUCGGGGGACAAAGUGACAGGUGGUGCAUGGUUGUCGUCAGCUCGUGUCGUGAGAUGUUGGGUUAAGUCCCGCAACGAGCGCAACCCUUAAGCUUAGUUGCCAUCAUUAAGUUGGGCACUCUAAGUUGACUGCCGGUGACAAACCGGAGGAAGGUGGGGAUGACGUCAAAUCAUCAUGCCCCUUAUGAUUUGGGCUACACACGUGCUACAAUGGACAAUACAAAGGGCAGCGAAACCGCGAGGUCAAGCAAAUCCCAUAAAGUUGUUCUCAGUUCGGAUUGUAGUCUGCAACUCGACUACAUGAAGCUGGAAUCGCUAGUAAUCGUAGAUCAGCAUGCUACGGUGAAUACGUUCCCGGGUCU